rnacentral:rRNA from 1 species
UUUGACCUCAAAUCAGGUAGGACUACCCGCUGAACUUAAGCAUAUCAAUAAGCGGAGGAAAAGAAACUAACAAGGAUUCCCCUAGUAACUGCGAGUGAAGCGGGAAAAGCUCAAAUUUGAAAUCUGGCAGUCUAUUUUUUCUUCUUUGGCUGUCCGAGUUGUAAUCUAGAGAAGUGCUUACCUGCACUGGACCAUGUAUAAGUCUCCUGGAAUGGAGCGUCACAGAGGGUGAGAAUCCCGUCUUUGACAUGGACUGCCAGUGUGUUGUGGUGUGCUCUCAAAGAGUCGAGUUGUUUGGGAAUGCAGCUCUAAAUGGGUGGUAAACUCCAUCUAAAGCUAAAUAUUGGCGAGAGACCGAUAGCGAACAAGUACCGUGAGGGAAAGAUGAAAAGGACUUUGGAAAGAGAGUUAAACAGUAUGUGAAAUUGUUGAAAGGGAAACGCUUGAAGUCAGUUAUGUUGGCUAGGGAUCAACCUAGCUGUCUUUUGCUGGGUGAAUUUCCUAGUCUGACAGGCCAACAUCAGUCUUGACUGCUGGAAAAGAGCAGAGGGAAUGUGGCACCUUCGGGUGUGUUAUAGCCCUUUGUCAUAUGUGGCGGUUGGGACUGAGGGAUGCAGCGUGCCGCGAGGCUGGGUUUCGACCACGUUCACGCUUAGGAUGUUGGCUUUUAAUGGCUUCAAUCGACCCGUCUUGAAACACGGACCAAGGAGUCUAACAUGCCUGCAAGUGUUUGGGUGGAAAACCCUUGCGCACAAUGAAAGUGAAAGUUGAGAUCCCUGUCAUGGGGAGCAUCGACGCCCGGACUUGAGCUUUUAGCGACGGAUCCGCGGUAGAGCAUGCAUGUUGGGACCCGAAAGAUGGUGAACUAUGCCUGAAUAGGGCAAAGCCAGAGGAAACUCUGGUGGAGGCUCGUAGCGAUUCUGACGUGCAAAUCGAUCGUCAAAUUUGGGUAUAGGGGCGAAAGA